GAUGAACGCUGGCGGCGUGCCUAAUACAUGCAAGUCGAGCGAACAGACGAGGAGCUUGCUCCUCUGACGUUAGCGGCGGACGGGUGAUUAACACGUGGAUAACCUACCUAUAAGACUGGGAUAACUUCGGGAAACCGGAGCUAAUACCGGAUAAUAUAUUGAACCGCAUGGUUCAAUAGUGAAAGACGGUUUUGCUGUCACUUAUCGAUGGAUCCGCGCCGCAUUAGCUAGUUGGUAAGGUAACGGCUUACCAAGGCAACGAUGCGUAGCCGACCUGAGAGGGUGAUAGGCCACCCUGGAACUGAGACACGGUCCAGACUCCUACGGGAGGCAGCAGUAGGGAACCUUCCGCAAUGGGCGCAAGCCUGACGGAGCAACGCCGCGUGAGUGGUGAAGGUCUUCGGAUCGUAAAACUCUGUUAUUCGGGAAGAACAAAUGUGUAAGUACCUAUGCACGUCUUGACGGUACCUAAUCAGAAGGCCACGGCUAACUACGUG
rnacentral:rRNA from 1 species